rnacentral:rRNA from 1 species
UACUAAUGCAACUGCGAAUAGCUGUUUAAUACAGUCGUAAUUGUAUUGACUUAUGUAUUUAGUGAUGUUAUUUAUUUGGAUAACUAAGGGAAAGUUUGGCUAAUACGUUUAAAAUAUAAUAAUACAUUAUGCAUAUAAUAAAUAUUUAUUUUAUGAUAAAUAUUAUAUAAAUGAAAAUACAUUUGUAUUUUAAUGUUGCAGACUUUAUAAUAUUUAUUUAUUAUAAAGCAUGUCAAACAAGCAUCUAUAGCAUCAAGUCACAAUGUUGGCAUGUGUAUUAUUGAACCUUCAAAGCAUUUACGCAUUCGGAGGAGUAGUUUCUGAUCCCGUCGAAGGUGCCUGAGAGACGGCACUUAGUUCUAAGGAACGCAGCAGGCGCGUAAAUUGCCCAAUGACAAAACAUGAUAAAACUCAGUAAAAGAGGUGAAUAUUUUAUUGAGGCAGUGACAAGCUGUAAAGAUUGAAUAUAUUAAUUAAGAUAACAUUUGGAAUUGUCGUUUUAUAAUAUUUUUAAUAUUAUAUUACUUGAUAAUAUACCAAUGUUAUAAAAUAUUCAAUUUGAAUGCGGUGAAUAUAAUAAUUUCAAGUAACAUGUUAUAAAAUAUUUAUAUUUUAUUAGUUAUCUGAAUUUUCAAGUGGAGGGCAAGUCUGGUGCCAGCAGCCGCGGUAAUACCAGCUCCACUAGCUUAUACAAUCAUUGUUGCGGUUAAGAGGCUCGUAGUUGGAUUGAAUACAUUUUUACAAUACUGUGAACAAACCAGAGUGUAUAAAACAUGUAAUAUAUUAUAUAUUUAGCAAUGGAAUGUUUUAUCAUGGAAUAUUGCUUAUAAUAUUUUUUAUCGAUGGAGAUAGUUGGAGUUAAGAGUACUGAUAGGCGAGCGGUGAAAUGCAUUGACCCUAUUAAGACUAACAAAAGCGAAAGCACUUAACUAGAUUAUUCUCUUUGUAUUAUUACAAUGAAGAGCGAAGGUUGGGGGAACAAAGAGGAUCAGAUACCCUCGUAGUCCUAUUUUUACAUCAAACUAUGGGAUUUCAAUCACACUCCUUACUAACAUAAAAUAUAUAAUAUAUAAUAUAAUUGAGUCGUAAAUACAACUCUUAUAUUUAAUUAUUAUUUUUAUUAUUCAUUAUAUGUACUUUGAGCUCAUAUAAUUAUAUAGGUGAGAUGUAAGCAUUAUAGGUGAAUAAUAUAUAAGUAAUAUUAUAUUAUUAUGAUCCUUAUUUAUAAAAAUGUAAUGUGAUGCACGUUUUAGGUACGAGCUUACUAUAGAAAUAUUUAAAAUAAUACCCUCCUGGGGUAGUAUGCACGCACGUGUGAAACUUGAAGGAAUUGACGGAAGGGCACCACAAGAACGCGUGGAGCAUGUGGCUUAAUUUGACUCAACCCGGGAAAUCUUACCAGGUCCAGACAUAUUGAGGAUUGACAGGCGAUAGUAUAUAAAAUAUAUUUUUAUAUGCAUAAAAAUGAUAGUCCUUUCAUGAUUAUAUGAUAGGUGGUGCAUGGCCGUUCUUAGUUCGUGGAGUGAUUUGUCUGCUUAAUUGCGUUUCAGUAAAUAAAAUAUAUAAUAUAUUAUAAUAUUUAGUUCUGCCUUAUUUAAGGAUUUAAAGUGAACAUAUUAUAUAUAUUAUUAUAUAAUUAAAUGAAUGC